GAGGAAGAGGAUGGUUUCGCUGGAUAAGAUUGGGGUUACGGUCGCUGGGAAGAGGGAAUGGAGUCGAUGGAAAAUAGAAGGAUUGGGUUAAAAAAUAGCUAUUUGAGAGAUUUUAGAUAUGAAAUGUGGACUAUUUUUAUUGGGCCACUUCACGUGUCGAGUAUCCCUUUUUGUGUGGAAAAGAUAUAUAUGAGUAUUUUAUGUUUUAUUUUGGGUUGAUACCAUACAUAAUUAAGUCUAUUGUAGUUUUUAUUUUUUUAUUUUUUAUUUUUUUGGAUCAAAUGAUAAAUAUGUUAGAUUAGGGAGCCAUUCAAAGAUGAGAAUAUUCAUUGGGAAAUUGGUUGUUCUAACGACCACAACAACCGGGUGUUGAACUAACCAAGGCAGUAGACGUAGUGGAGAUGGUGAUGGUAAGGUGGUGGCUGAAAAUAUUGACGAGAGCUUUGCAAUUGGAAGAGGAGCUUGUGGGACCGUGUACAAAGCAGUCUUACCGACGGGUCAUACAGUUGCUGUUAAGAAGGUAGUAUCCAACAGGGAGGGGAACAACGUGGAUAACAGUUUUCAUGCUGAAAUUCUAACUUUAGGAAAAAUCAGGCGUCACUGUUGGAGGGAAGCAAUUUAAAUUGAUUUGUGGAUGUGGUCCUAACUUCUAACUGAAUUUUAAAUUUGAGGUCUUGGUUGGGUAUACUCAUAUUACUCAAUUUUUCUAUUUGGAGUCCAAUUGGACUGUUUUUUUGGCAUUAAUAAAAACAAAUAUGUGCAUGUUUGACACCCAUUGGAAUAUAAGCAAGUACGAGGUUCGAGCGAUAACUUGCAUCUCCAUUUUUUAUUUUUCAUUUUUCAUUUUUCAUUUUAUUUUUGUUCUUAAACGACAUGUUGUUCAUCUACUAUCUUCAGGUAUCUCAUUUUCCAAGUUCUCUCCGGCUCUCUCCACCACCCUCAGUCGGCUGCUCUCGACCCCAGGAAGAGAAACCUGGGUCUGAUUGCCCAUUGGAAUAGCCAUGGUAGCAGGCGAAGCUUUACCAUUCUAGUAAUCCGGGACUUUGACGGUGACGUUCAACGUCCUCUUCAAAUUUUCGCUUAGAAACAAACUCAAACUCCUGCGUAUAAAUAAACAGUGAUUUUUCAUAUCAUAAGUCCACCAAAACCGAUAUCCGUUCAGAAACAAUACAUGCAUCUAAAUUGAAACUACAAUUUAUGGGGAUUUAUGUAACAAACUCAAAGUCCUUCGUAUAAACAAACAGUGAUUUUUCAUAUCAUAAGUCCAUUGAAACCGAUAUCCGUUCAGAAACAAUACAUGUGUCUAAAUUGAAACUACAAUUUAUGGGGAUUUAUGUACUCACCAUUGACCAGGAUGACGAUGUAAAUACUCCCACGCGUGUGUGAUAUCCCUUCUUCGCCUUCCCUUUAGUUCUUUUAACAUUACUUGUAUUUGACUUUUUUUAAUACUUUUUUAGGGAGUUUAACGAGGGUUUGAAUCCACUUCAUGAUGGAAUGACAACACUCUUCACCACUAUGGUAAAGAGCCACUUGCGAGUUUAUUGUAGUUAAUCCACCAUUAUAUAUGUCAAUUUUAAUGAGUUUUUCUUUUAUGAGACAAUUUUAAUGAAUUUUUUUUAUGAGACAAUUUUAAUGAGUUGACGAUUCCUAUUUGUUUAGGUUAGACAUCUCGCCUAAUAGUGUUCAUUACAUAAUAAAGAGUUUUUAAGCUAAAUCAUUCAUUUACUAAUUUGUAGGUAUGUCUAUUUUUAUAAGGUACUUAUACUUUUUUGAAAGGAAUACUAGUGAGUAGACAUGACAUUUGUGUCGUAUUUUCCGUGUUCUUGUCAUUUUCGUGUCAUAUCAGAUAUCUUAAUGAAUCGUGUCAUGUAACACCCAUUAAAAUAAACAGGUAAAAUGACCCGACCCGAUAAUAUUAACAGGAAAUAUGACUCGAUCCAUUACCAAUUAAGGAAAAUAUAUUUUAAACCAAUAAAUAAUCAAAUGAAAAACAUAAUACUAAAUAAGUAUAUGCAUACCAUAUUGUCACAUCCAAAACAUAAAAACGCAAUUUUCUUUUAAGUAUAUUUUCGCUUACCUAAAUUGAUUGCUCUAGCCUUUUUCUUUGCAAGACUCGUAUUUGUAUUAUCUAUACUUUCGCUUUCAAGAUCUCGUUAUGUUCCCAUUAUAAUCUCCACGGACUCCUCAUCACUAAGGUUUACUGAAUCUGAAUUUCUAGCAUCCAUUGCUUCUGAAACAAAAUGGGUAUAAAUUAAUUAAUUAAGUAAAGUCUUUAAUAGUUUUUUAAUUAAUGUAGAAGUGUAAAAAAUAUAGAAAAAAAUAUAUAAACGCUCGUAAUAACAAGCUUUACAACUUUCAUGAAGAGCUUAACUUCGAAAUUCGCCAUUAUAAUCAUAUAAAUCAUAGAUCAAAAUUUAACCGUUGAUUGUUGUUUACAUUUACGCUUUAUUGUUCUCAUAAAUUUUGUUUUUUUUUUCUUUCAGAUUUUCUUUUUUGAAAACAUGAUCUAUUAGAGGAAGCAGGAAGAUGAACAAUUUGGAUCAUUGAUAUUAUAUUCAGAGUUUUACGGUUAGUGAAAAUAUUGCUUGAUAUUUAUAAAGUUUCUACAAACUAUAUGACAUCGACUUAUAUUUUAGUGUAAAUAUCGAAACGUGAUAUCAAAGAUUUGAAUCGUUCAUCUUCUUACAUCUGCUAGAUGAUCAUGUUUUCAAAAAAGAAAAUUUUAAAAAUGAAAUUCAGUAAGAAGAAUAAAGCGUAAAUGACAAUCGACGGUUAAAUAUAAAUUUAAGGUUUAUGGAUUAUAGUGUUAUAGUGUUGGAUUUCAAAGCUGACCCUUUCAUGAAAGUUGUAAAGUUUGUCACUAUGAGUGAUUAUAUAUAUUUUACAUUUUUUUACACGUCUACAAUAAUUAUUAUUAAUUUUAUUAAUUUUUCCCUCAAAUAAAAAGCAUUAUUCAUGAAGGUUUGGAGGAUUUUAAAAAUCUAAACGAUAAUGUAAGUGUAACCAUUAUCUACUCGUGGAUGAAUAAUGAUGAAUCAGGAGUGUUUAUAUAUUCUUUCACGUUUUUUCGUACUUGUAUGUAUGUCUUCUUAGUUCUUGCCUAUACAAAUACUAUACUAGUUUAUUUUAAUUUUGGACAACAACAUGUUGAGUAAAAUUUAUCCUAGUAAUGAUAAUAAGGAACUCCCAUAAUAAAAAUAAAUAAUAACUAAAACUUUUUUUUUAAAACUUAUAUAGAAUAAUAAUACAAAACUAUAUAUUUAAUAUAUAAUAUAUUGUAUAUAUUAAUAUGGCUAUUUUAUUUUAUAAUAAAUCUUUUGAUAAUUAAACUUUAAAAUUAUCAAAAUAAUUUUUUUCUUAAAGGGUCAAAACGGGUUAUCCACGUGUUACCAGCAUGUAUACAUGUAAAGAACCCGUUAUUAACGGGCCACCCGAUAAUGACUUGAUUAAUUAUCGUGUUGACCCGAAACCCAUUAUUUUCGUGUUGUUUUUGUGUCGUGUCAAAAAUUGCCGUGUGACAACCCGUCCCUAAAAUUUCAUUUUUUAUUUAUUUUAAUCGAGGGAAUUGACGAAAAUGCCUAGAGGCAAGGAUUUUGAUUUCUGUUGACCAUCGUCUAGAGGAACGUAUGACUUAUUCUUUUGGCGUAUUUAAGUAGUACUCGUUGGUACGAACACAUAGGCGAAAGCCAUUUGCGAGUCCGGAUUAUAAUGGUAUAGUUAUGAACGUUUGAAGUUGGUUAUUUAAAGUUAAUUAAUUGGUUAAGGAUGACCAAUUAGAAAAAAAGUAGAAAAAGGGCAGCUGCCCAAUCAGAAAUCAGAAAAGAAAAAAAAAAAAAAAGGAGAAAGCUCCCAACUUUCCUGUGCAUGCCACCACCGCGACCACCCAACUUCCAAGGCCGAUUCCAGCCAACUACAGUGGAAUUUUUCGACGGCACCACCGUCAUCUUGAAGCUCUCAUUCCCCUCUACAAAACCCACCCAAGACCACCUUGAUUAACCACGGUAUGUGGUGGUUUGAGGCCACGAAAGUCGACGAAAAUCAAUAAUGCUCUGGCCACCCUUUUCAAUUUUCGGCAAAUUGGCAAAGCGAUGGCCGAUGCCACCACUUGGGCUUUGUAGCCCAUCAUCCCAGGAGUAAAACCCAACCAACCUUGACCCCGUUGGACCACCAUAGACGACGAAUCGACACCAGGAAGCUUUAGGCACCCGCCAGCUUUGUGGGCAAAAUUGACCAUCUUCCGUCCACUUUUGGACUUGUGGCAGGUAUGAAGGUGUUCCCCUCUUUGCGAUCUUCAUUCCUGUAAAUUUUGAUAAUUUUUGAAAAUAGUUGGAUUUUCCGGAGAGUCGGGGCGGCCGAUCGCCACCCGCGGCGGCGCGUGGCCAUGAGGCCCUCGAUGUUAUUCUUAGGCUAAAUAAAAUGAGUUUAGUUUUGGUAAUUGUAUGACGUAGGUUGAUUGUUAGAAUCUAAAUUCUCUAAGUUAUGUUAAUAGGUCAUUAUAUGAAUCGACUAUCCGACCGUUUGAUCGUCACCAAACUUUAAUAUGUUAUAGUACGUAAUAUUUGAGAACCAUAGAAACUUACGGAUUGGGAAUCCGAUCUACGAAUCUUCCCGAAUUUGAUUUGUAAAUUCAUAAAAUAAAAUGUUGACCGCCACUUGAUGUUGGGCAAUUGGAAAAGAUCCGACCGUUGGAUCAUAAUGAAACCUUAGGAUGUUGUUCUAGAAGUAUAAUGUGAAUCUUUGGAAGCAACGGAUUGGAAAUCUAUGAUGUAGAUCUUCCAAAUUGAAUUACGUAGGGAUGCGUUUUAUGUAAAUUAUGUAUUUUAUCGGUCAGAACUCUAAGAUGUGAUUUGAUAAUUGGUCAUAGGCGACAAUGGUUCAUGAUGUCUUGACAUGCGUGCUAGGAAGUCGUGGCACGGACCUCAGGUGAGUGGGUCUUUUCCAUUCCAUCGUGUAUGUAUAUAUAUAUAUAUAUACGAUUGACAAUUCCAUAAAUGUUUAUAAAUCAAUUAUUGUUUAUGAUUAAUCUGAAUGCUUUGAAAUACUAUUGUGAACUACGAAUAACUUGAUCCCUGUUUAAGGUACGUAGGCAAUCUAACGAGACGUUAGAUGCAGCCAUAUAAUAUUUGAAUCAAAAACUUUGUUUGUGAAUUGAGCAAUGUGAAGGAAAUCGGUGAAAAUAUGAGAUUUAACCUUAUGUUUUUAGUGAUUGGAUGUUGGUCAUAAAUCAACGUGGAAGGAAUCAAGAAACUGAAAUAAGGAAACGUAAGUAAUGAUAGUUAAUUAAACUAGUGUUUGGUUGGACUUAUCUCCGAUAAUUAUUUUCGAAAAUAAAUAAUUCGGUAGUAGGGCAUUAUAAAUUGUGCAUUUUACACCACAUUAUAUAUAUAUAUAUAUAUAUGUAUAUAUGUAUAUAUGUAUAUAUGUAUAUAUGUAUAUAUUGGAAAAAUACUAUGAUAUGGUUGAGUUUUAGAUUUGCAUUAUGGCAUAUCCAUGUGUAUACUACCUGCACAAAAUUAUUAUGAAUGCUUUGAAGUGCGAAGAUGAACGCGGAACACGCAGGUAAGUUCAAGUGAGUUAUGGUAUUAGUUGAAAUGAUUGAGUUAUGGCAUGAUCACAUUAUGUUUUAGGCAACUCCGACAUUGUCGUACAAGUUGCCUAUGAGUUGUAUAUGUCACAUAAGAUGCAUUUAGAGCUCAUAAACCUGCACCCCGAUGUUAGUGCUCCCGCUCGUGGCCAAGGCACAGUCAUUCACUUGAUGUUCACCUCCCGCACCUUACACUCACCUUGGAUCCAAGGUAGGUGCACAGGCCUGUCGUACAGACCACUAUAGGUGGUUCCGACUCGUAGGUGACCCGCGAUUAUUCGCACAGUCUUCACGUCAUCGUAGCACUUGAGCGUAUUUAUUUACACCUAAUCUUGUCGUACAGACCACCUUAGGUGGUUUCGACUCAUGUGCAUGUAUACUUAUGAGAUAUGGAUAAGUCAUAUAGGUCAUUAUAGGUGACUCCCGACUUAUGAGCUAGCAUAUGUGAUGAGAUAUGGAUAAGUCGUACAAGUCACUAAAGGUGACUCCCGACUUAUAAGCUAUCAUAUGUGAUGAGAUAUGGAUAAGUCGUACAGGUCACUAUAGAUAACUCCCGACUUAUGAGCUAGCAUAUGUGAUGAGAUAUGGAUAAGUCGUAUAGGUCACUAGAGGUGACUCCCAACUUAUAAGCUAACAUAUGUGAUGAGAUAUGGAUAAGUCGUACAGGUCACUAUAGGUGACUCCUGACUUAUGAGCUAGCAUAUGUGAUGAGAUAUGGAUAAGUCUUACAGUCACUAGAGGUGACUCCCGACUUAUGAGCUAACAUAUGUGAUGAGAUAUAGAUAAGUCGUACAAGUUACUAGAGGUCACUCCCAACUUAUGAGCUAGCAUAUGUGAUGAGAUAUGGAUGAGUCGUACAAGUCACUACAGGUGACUCCGACUUAUGAGUUAGCAUUGAUUGAUAAUAUAUGGGUGCAGUCGUACAGGUCACCAUAGUUGACUCCAACUUGCGUGCUAGUAUAGGUUAUUAAUCACAUGAUUAUUGAUAUUGCUGAUGAGAUGUUGUGUUGUGGUAUAUUUAUGGUUUACUGUUGAUAUACUUUUGAUUUCACAUUGAUACGUGGUAUGAUUUUCUGGAAACUAUACAGGUGUGGCAGCAAGAGGUUAUAAUGCUUUAGAUGGUUUCUAUUAAAAUUUCAUUUCUAGGGCCACUCACCCUUGUUUUGUUUUCACCCUCCAGGUUUUAUUAGCUGAGCCUUCUUAUAGUCGAAGAUUCGUGGCGAUUCUUAGUAUUGGAGAUUCCUUCGAGGGUACGAUUCUUAAUCCACUCUACUGUACUUACUUAUGCUCUAACGUCACGUGUGAAGAGGGUUCCUUCCCGCUCACCAGCACACUCUGGUAUGUAGGCACUUUUAGGUUUAAAUUUAUUCACAUGUUUCCACAUCUUCACACUUUAUGGCUUCGUCACCUUCUAGGUGUCGGCCAGCGCAGCUCAAUUUGGAGUCCUAGUGGACAUUCCGGGUCGGAGUGUGUCAGUUACCAGGUCUACUGGUGAGCUAGUUCUAACAACUUUGUCAAUCAAACCUAAAACUUUAUUUGGAAGAAUUUUCAGGUUUGUUUGACAUUAUAUGAUGUGAGCAUAACAUAUAUGCAGUGAGUUUGAUAAUUGUGGACGACCUAUUAUGUUGUCGUAACUUGUAAUCUUGAUUUACUUGCCUAAUUGUUGCCUUUUUCUUUUCUUUUGUCAAACUUCAUAUAAUCAUUCUUUGUGAGAAAAAUGUCGUUAAAGCCAAAAGUGAAACAUGCAUCAAAUAACGUAUUGAUCGCACCAGUACAUUAAUUACCAUUUUUGCCUUCUAGCUUUAUGUAUACAGAUAAACCAAUUAUUUAUUUAUUUAUUUUUGUGAAAAUUAUCAUGGAUAUUAUUUGAUUGCUCAAUAUUACAAUCUCUAGAAUGAGAAGAAAACCCAGUAAACCCAACCACUAAACCAUUUUUUUUAUUACUACUACCAACCCAAUUCUCGUACCAGAAAAUUAACAAAAUUAAGGGCCCCUUUAAUCAUACUUCUGAGAUGAUGUACCUUUGUCCUUUUCUAAUUAAUUUGUUAAAUCUAUAGCACUUCGGAGUAAAACUUUCUAACUAAUGAUGAGCAAUAAUUGAAAGACCCAUAAAAUCAUUAACCGAAAGCUUAAUCUUUUAUAUCUGUUAGAGAAUAUAGCGGCGAACUUUAUAGCUAGGUACAAUGGAGCAGAGAUGAGCGAUUCCGUAUGGUCGUGAGACCCCCAUCUUUGUUAGUGAGAAUCUUGAACAAAGAUGCCUUGCCAUGUCCUUCUAAGUUGGCGCUGAAGUGGGAUGGGGAAGGCGUAUUAGCCUGUGUUGGCAGCGUCUCUUUUGUACUCCCUUCUCUCGCUAGUCUGUGUUUGUUAGUUUGGUUCCUUUUGACUUUCUUUGUAUUUGGUGGUUGUUGCCUUCGUUAUGAAACUUCCCAUUUUCCAAAAAAGAAGAAGAGAAUAUCAGGUAGGCAGUUUCCUCAGCAUACUCCAAGAUUCCCAUAAAAAAUUAUAAAUUUUAACAGAAAAAAUAUUAACCUCAAUUAAUCAACUUGGGAGAAAUAUUGCUAAAACAAUUAAUUUGCGAAUAAUAUUUGGCUACUAAAAAAUAGUAAGAAUCCCUACAAAAAGAAUCUUCAUGGCUGAUUCAUAUAACAUGGUGCUUAUGGGGAACCAGUCAUAUAAUAAAUCCAUCUAUAAAAAUUAUUUCUACAAAAAAACUAAUUAAAAUUAAGAUUGCGUAGUCAAUCAAAUGUAGCAAAUGGAGGAUUUGUUUAGUCAAUUAACUACAACAUUACGAAACAUUUAUCUGUUUACUAAUUAAAUAUACUUAAUUUUAAUUAAAUUUUUUCAAAGAUAAAUCUUUACAAAAUAAUUUAUAAUAUAACCGAUUCCGUUCAUAAGCACGAAGUGGGCACAAAAGUUUUUUGUGUAAGAAAUCUUACUCAUUUUUUAGUAUAUAUCCAAGUAUUAUUUUUAAUAUAUCCAGACUAUAUACAUAGGAGACUCUGAUGGCUUAAAUUUCAGAAUUAAAAUUCAAAUUUGCCCGAGUUGUUGGUGGUCGGUCAUCAAAGAAUUAUGGUUCAACGAACAACUUAUAUUGAACUUUUCUCGGUAAAGGAAUUUAUAUGAAUUUGUAUAGUUUAGGUAUUUUAGCAUUUGGAAUUGGUCUUCCUUUUAUGAUGGUCAUUUACUUGUUGAUCGCUUUGUUGCUCCACCAAGAAGCAGAAAUAUUGGAUCUUGUUGGGAGUGCACUCCAUGUGCUGCAAACUUUGAUGUUUCAAACAGCCGAGGUGAAUUUUUGAGAAAUGGAGUAUUUAUAGUUAUUGCUUUCGUGGUACAUUUCUCCAUUGAUAAUGCUUGUGUCUCUUCAUGGGAAGACUUAUUUGUUCCUCCCCUUACCAUAACUAGUGGCGAAGCGGGGAGGGGGCCUCAAGCCGUUGGAUGCAUGAGGUCAAUUUUCUUCCCCUCAAUAUUAGUAUUUGACCCCAAUUAUGUGUUUUUCCAGGUAAUUAACGAUAUGUUCUUUAUUUCCGUUAAAAAAGUACGUACCUAAGAUAUGUAUUAGAUAUGGAAUAUGUGUAUUUAGGGUCAAAAUAAUAUAAGAUAAUACUUGCAUCCUCCAUGUGGAUGCAUGUAUAUCUCUCAUUUAACGUAUCUUGACCGAAUAAAAUCAACGAACAUAACCAUUCAAUUUAUUAAUCUGCAUUUGAAGUUUACUCCUACAAAAAAAUCAUUAAAAUUAAAGAUCAUUUCAUCAUUCAAACGAAUUAAAUAAAUGGAUGGUUCAUCAUGGAUAUGUUACUUGGUACCUAUACCUCGAUUUGUUUAAUACACUUGAAUGACUAAAUGAUCUCUAAUUGAAAUGAUGUUUUGUAGGGGUGAUCUUCAAAAUGAAAGAUUAAGAAAUUGAACGGUUCCGAUUAUGAAAUUUUUAGGUCAACAUAAAUUAUUCGCAAGGGAAAAAUUAGCUUACUCCACAAAGAGGGAAUACAAGUAUUAUCCAAUAAUUUAUGAGGUGCAUAAUUUGCUUAGAUAGGUGAAGUACUAAUUGUGGAGCAAAAAAUAAUCUCAAAAAUCUUGGAGGCAACACGUGGAUUUUUGCUUAAGAAAUACAAGAUUGCUUUCAUUAAAUGGAUAGUGCACACUUAUAUUCCCACUCGCAGCUUAGCAUCCCUAGAAGUGCAAGCAACAAACUAUGGUUGCCCAAAGCUCCCCUGCUCGGGGCAUGAAAAAAUCAAAGGCUUAGGGUAGGAUUAAUUACUAAAUCAUAUGUUUAAUACAUUCUCAAUUGAAGAUCAACUCUAUCAAGUAAGUAAUAUGUAUUUCAAUCAAUUAUGGAUACUUCCACCAUUAUCCCAAGAUAUUGUCUCCUAAUUAAUAUCUUGGGAAUAUUCUUUCCUCAUUCACCCAACGGAUGACAUACCUUGGCCAAUAGGAUGCCGCAAUGUGUAGGUGCAAAACCCUAACACCUAGGCCGGCCACACCCUCCUAUGAAUACCUCCAUCUCCAAAAAAAAAUGGUAAGCUUUUAUUACGUACGCAAGCCCUAAAAGCUCACUCUUUUCAGAGAAACUAACUUAGGCAUUGGAGAUCCAUUGGCCAAACCACACAACCCCCCUUCACCCCUCAUGGGUACGUAAAGCUUUGGUCUUUGAUCAAAGGUGUUGAUUGUUUUGUAGGUACUUUUUUGUUAAGACUGAAGACGGUGGAAAUUUGCUACCGCACUAACAACAUCUACUUAGAAUCCAUUAGCCUCACAUUGUAUAUAGGAAAAGUGAAUAUAAAAAACAUAUAUGCACAAGUAUGAUAAUCUGACAAUAUUUUGUGGAUGAAAUUAUUUGUACUCAAGAUUUGAAUAUUUCUUAAUUUUGCCCCUAUUACAAUAAAGUUCUAGCUCUGCCACUGCGAUUAACGAACUUUUACUCUCCAAACUAUAAUAGGAACCGUUCAUUCUCUUUAUCAUCAUCUAAAACUCUCCAAAUUGAAUGAUUCUUUUGCAUAUAUGAUAUGUAGAUGAUGAUAAAUAGAAUGAACAGUUCCAAUUAGUAUAUUAAGAUGGUAAAAGUUUGUUAAUCGUAUGUUGGGUGGUGGUUCCCCGGGGGGGGGGGGGGGGCAACAAGCAUUAUCAUUUCUUCAUUUAGGUUGAAGAAGUCUCAACUCUAAAAUCUUCUUUUUCCCAAUAAACAAAAUGGUUUAGGAUCUAAGCCCACAACAGGACAGUUUGUCUUGAGAAUGAAUGUCAAAUUCGAGAAUAUUUAAGAGACCUUACAUGUGCUGAUAAGAAAUUUUGUUAUUUUGCAUUAAGGCAUAUUGGAUUUAUGACUUAAAUUCAACUUUCUUCCGGUAAAGCAUUAAGGCAUAUUGGAUUUAUGACUUAAAUUCAACUUCCUUCCGGUAAAGCAUGUUGGACCACGUGUGAAAGUUCAAUACUCACACAUGCUUCACGUCAUCUAAUGUAUGUGGUCCAUGCGUUAGACUUGAAAAUUAGGUACAUUUGAGAGGGCAUGUUGAGAGUUUAUCCUAAAAAAGAUAGUUAAGGGACAUUAAUUGCAUGUCUUUACAAGGAGUUGGGCUAUUUAUGCUAAUUUUGCAACACUAAUCAACUAAUGUAAAAAAAAACUACUAAUCUUAAUUGGAGGAAUUUGUGCAUGAAUAUGUGAUUUUAAUUGACAGGGGGAUAAUGUACCAUAUCAUAUGGUAUACUAGUAAAGUUUAAACACCAACUACAAAAACUAAUCUACAAACUACGAGUAAUCUUACAUUUCUAUUAACAAGUAACCUUAUAUAAACACAAAAACUUACUCAUACACACUCGACAAGAUCAACGUCUUUAUAUUUAUAUUAACGAUAUGUAAUCAAUAUUUGAUAAACAAGUGAGUUAGUGGAGAUAUCGUCAAGAGGAGAGAUAAUCAAAUACAGUACAAAUAUAAUGUCAAUAUCAUCCAUAUCGAAGACAUUGUUGUUGUACCAUAUAAUGAGCCCCAAUAUUUGGAUUUUACCAUUUAGCCCAUGAUGUAAGCAAGAGGUGAAGGAAACUCUUUUUCUAUAAAAGAGAUCCUUCACCCCUACUUUGGGAGGAUAGUAAAGAGAGCAAACCCUAGCCUCAAUAGCCUCCACGUACAUUGUAGCCCUCAAUUUACAUAGUGAAACCGGAUCGACACCAGUGUGGACAUAGCCUCAACUUGGGGUGAACCACGAUAUAUCUUUAUGUUCUUGUGUGUGUGAUUUACAAUGGGAUUUACGUUGGUCCAAGAUCGACCUGAUUUUGUACAUCAACAAAUGUAAAUAUUAAGGGCUUACUUGUGUUUUUAUAGAUAAGGGCUUUCAUGUCUUCGUGGUUUUCAUUUUGUUUUGGUCAGAUGAAUGUGCAAAAGCUUGAGAUCUUUUAUUGGAUGACAAUAUUUAUUUCUUUCAUGGUUUUCCAUCACAGUCAGGAGAGUGAGGGAAGAACUUUAUUAGAAUGACAAAAUGUAAAUUAUCCAAACAAAAAGUGCAACAGAGCAGUUAAGAAAACUCGAAGAAUUUCACCAUAACUUAUGUACUUAAAUCUCAUUUAAUGGGAUGGGCUGGUGGGCUAGUAGUUGUGUAAAUUUGCUUGUACGGAAGGAUGAGAUUAAUAUAUGAAGGAACAAUGGUGUUUCCAACGCAACAGUCCACAUCUAGUUUUCAGUAGGACGUUUCGUGGUUUGACAUUUCCCUUUACUCUUGUAAAAGAACAAAAUGUAGAGGAUGAGCAGAUAAACGCUCUUGACUUCUUUAGAUAACUCAUUCUCUGAUACAGGUAAAUUUUACAAAUUAUACGUGUCUCGCUUGUAUUUAAGAGUUUGUUAGCAAAUAUGUGAGUUUUGUUUGUCAAGCUAUCAACAAAUAUGAUACAUUUUCUUAUAGAGGUAGGCUUGGUGGGUCACAUUCGCUCCAUGCCUUUGAGCAUUCGUAAGCCAAAGGAUAGAUUGAUCAGGCGUUUCAACUUGAAGGGACUUUUGACUGUUAAGAGUGCCUUUUUAUGUUGCUUUGAGCUGGAUUUGAGUGAAAAAAAAGUUGGGGUUUCAUUAUAAAAUUAAUUGGCAAUAUGGAGAGUAACUCAACUACUUAUAAGCAUAUGCAAGGUCCUUCCUCUCAUCCAUAAAACCAAUAUUUAUUAGAAUGACAACAUAUAAAUUAUCCAAACAAAGAGUGCAACAGAGCAGUUAAGAAAAGUCGAAGAAUUUCACAUGUACUUAAGUCUCAUUCAAUGGGAUGGCUGAUGGCCUUCUAGUUUGUGUAAAUUUACUUGUAAGGAAGGACUCUACUACAAAUAACACUUUGCGCAAUGAAAUAUUAUUUGUCGCCUAAAGUCCAAAUUCAUCGCACAAGGUUUUGUGCAACGAAAUAUUCGUCGCACACUGUUGAUCGUGCAAGGCUCAUAAAGAAAAGUUUUGCUCGACAAAAUUUAUAAUUCGUUGCGCAAUGUUACUUUACGCGAUGAAAUAUUUCGUAGCUCAAAGUAUUUAUUUGUUUAAUUUAAUUAUUUUUAUAUAAUUUACGCGACAAAAUAUUUCGUCAUGCAAAGUGUUUAUUUUAUAUAUUCUUUAUUUAAUUUAAUUGGAGUAAUUCAUUUUUUUUUUAAAUUUAAUUUGGCAAUUUUAAACAUACUGAGGAAGGCCAUCUCAAUCACCAUCUCUAAUUACCAGUACAUUUUUUCUUAAAUUUAAAAGUUAAAAACAUGGGUAAAUUACACUUUCAUACCUCAUGUUUGGGAUCUAUUUCAAUACCUUACAACAUCUUCAAAACAUUUUACUUUGAUACCUUAAGUACUAUUUUAUUUCAAAAUAAUACAUCCGUUACAUUUUUCAUCCAUUCAUCUGAUAAAUGCUGACGUGGCUGCCACAUAUAUGCCACGUGGCUGCCAAAUGUCUGCCACGAGGUAAAUAAAAUAAUUUUUUAAUUUUUUUUUUUAAAAACCUGAAUUUUCUCAAAAUAAAAUAAAAUAAAAUAAAAUGAAACCCACUAUCCCUCCCCCCCCAAUGACCCACAUCCCUAUCCCUAACCAGAACCCAAAAAACCAACAGUAGCAGCAACGAGAAGAAGAAAAAAAGGGGAAGAAGAGGGAGGAAGAAUAAGGAAAAAAAAAACAUGCAGCAGGAAGAAGAAGAAGAAGAAGAAAAAAAAAAACCCCAAACCCAGUUCCCCCCCCCCCCGGCGCCUCGCGACCCACCUCCCUCCCCCCCCCCCACCCCGGCGAGGUGCGACCUUCCCCCCUUUCCCGCCCUCUGCAGGUCAGGAUCUCUUGAUUUUCAGUAUGGGUGGGUUUUGAAAAUACUGUGAUGGGGGAUGGGAGAAAGGGGUGGCUUGGGUGGGAAGAACUGGGGUUAUUUUUUUAUUUUUUUUUUUUCUUUUUUUCUCCCUCUUCUUGUAGGUUUUUGGGUUCUAGGGGGGGGGGGAGAGACACUGGUUUCUUUUUUUUUUUUUUUGAGAAAAUUCAGGUUUUUUAAAAAAAAUUAAAAAUUUAUUUUAUUUGCCAUGUGGCAACAUUUGGCAGCCACGUCAACAUUUAACAGAUCAAUGGAUGAAAAAUGUAACGGAGAUAUUAUUUUGAAAUAAAAUAGUACUUAAGGUAAGAAAGUAAAAUGUUUUGAAGAUGUUGUAAGGAAUUAAAAUAGACCCCAAAUCUGAGGUAUGAAAUUGUAAUUUAUCCUAAAAACAUUCAAAUUUUAAUUAGAAACAAUAACAAUAUCAUAUAUUGCAAAUGAAUUUACAUUGUAUCCCACACUAGACAAUAAUAUAAAACAUGAAAGAAGAUCACUAAAAUGACUUGUGGGCAUGUGUUCAUAAUAUUCCUCACUCAAUCAUCAUUUCUUGAGCUCUUCCAUAAUCAAACGCGAUUGCAUUCCUUGAGCUGUACAAAGAGAGCAUCCCAAAAGCAAUAAACUAUAAGUGUAGGGAGAAUUCGUAUAUUUUCUGCAUCUAGCGUGAAAAGGUAAUAUCAAUAAGAAUCCCUGUAACAACUAUAACAAUCCGACGAAUGUAUAGCAAGAAAUGGAUUCACAUAUGAGAAGCGAUUGGAACUUGGAGAAAAGAGGGUGACUUACCAAAAGGGGCUCAUACCACGUUUUCUGUCACUCUAAUUUUCUGAUAAAAAAGCUAGCUAAUUAAUGGAAGAAGUAGAUGAAUAAUUGACAAACAAAGAGCAUGUAAUCAAGAAUUUAUUAAAGUCCAUAACAAACAAUAUAAUCUUAAGUAGCAUUUGUAAAACUCCAAGUACCUGGACGAAAAUAAUCAAGCAAUAGGCUACCAUUUUCUUAUAUCAAGCAACAGGUUAUCUGUUUUCAAAUAUCAAGUUCAAGAUAGAUCAAGUACCUAGAUAAAUAAGGACGUGAAGCCUGAGAUUCUAAUUUGCGAAAUCAAUGUAAGACAAAAGCAUUGGCUAUUGCGAUAUGGUAUACAAACAAUUCAAAACAUAUCAUACAAAUUCGAAAAAGAUUUCUUUACAAUCUCUUGUUCAUCUGCUUAAUUAAUCAUUCUUUAUGACACCAAAAAAUUUCUCCAUCGUUAUCAAGGUUAUUCUCAAUAAAAUGAAAAUCAGUAAAUAGAACUCACAAAACAUCCUUUCCAUCACAUAAAACCAUUAAACCCCCAAAAUUAUUUGACAUACUUACCUUUGUGGACAAAGAGAGUGGGGAGUGAAGCAGAAACAUCAACAUGUUAUAGCCCACUGCAAACCAAGGUCAAAGUUAUGCAGAAAAAUCAAAUACAAUGAAACAAAAAAACCUUAACUUCAGAAUGGGAAAUUCUAACAUUUUAUACAAAGUACAAACAUAACAGUCCAAAAGUAAUCUACCAUGAAAAGGUAACAUCAAUCUCUGGCUUGUAUUCCUUCUCGUAACAUGAGAGCACCCUUACUUGGAGCAGAUUAAUGAUAACCUUCAUUGCACCUUUGAACCAUAUGCUCUUAUUCCUUUAAAAGAAACUAUAUUUUCUACUCUACAAAUAGAUAAGUUCAAUCAUCCUAAGAUUAAAAGACCAUAUGUUCAUCGAAAUGAGCCACUGUAAUCUAGUUGUAACUUGUAAAUUUGAUUACUGCUGCAGCAAAAGGCAAUUGGAAAUCAUAGAAUUGAUCACCAUUAGUCCAUAAAAGCUUCAUCUUUAGAAUUUGGCAUUGGGAUAGUCUUCAUAUGCGUCAGCCCAGCUAUGCAGAUGCUAAAUAUGUAAAUGUCGUAAAAUUAAAAUAAAUGCUUCUUAGCUACACCUAAAACUUACACUCUGUUUGGAUGAGAAAAUUUAAGAUUACUAAGAAAUUUUAAAAUGACAAAAAUUGAUAUGACGGAAUUUUAUUUUCUAAAAUUUGUGAAUUUUCUUGUUUAGUUAACCUAAAAGAACAAUGCAAUUUGAAUACAAAAUUUGUUAUAUUUAAACUCUCACUCAUAAAAAUUGAACAAUGACACCUAUUUACAUAGAAUUUAAACUUUGGAAUUGGAGGUCCUCAAUUUCAAAUUUUUUUCCACGCGAGAAUUCUAAAGUUCUAUGUUUAUGAAUCGAAACGAGGGAAUCAAUGCAUAUCAAUUUAUAAAUCUGAAGUUUGUCCAAAUUCCAAGUUUAUUUCCCUCUUCCAAACAUAAUGUUAAAGUAAAUGCUACUCAAGAUUCUUUACAACCAUGUUCAAACAUUGAUAUAGAAAUUCACUUAACAGUAAUAAGCAACGGUUCCUAAAUUCCAGAUUUCUAACCCUAAAAUUGAUUUCCCUGAAAUCCCCAAUUUAUGAAGUUCCUGACCCUAAAUUAAACCUGAAAUUAUGGAAUAUUAUAGCUUAAUUCACUUAACAGAGGAAGGACUUUGUGCAACGAAUGGCUAUUGCUCCUCGCGCCAAGUUGCUUUUCUAUUUUUAUUUUUCUUUUUCAAGGACUUUGAGCCACCAGUCGUGCAAGCAGUCUUUUGCGCGAUAAUUAUCGCGCAAAAUUUAUAUUUUUUUAAUUUGAUCUUUUAACUUUGCGUGAAGACUUAUAAAUUUUCAUUGCCCAAAGUGUCUUUGCGUGAUGAUUUUGAUUUCGUCGCACUAACAGAUUUUUCUACUAAUGGGAUGAGAUUAGUAUGAAGGAACAACGGUAUUUCCAACACAAUAGUCAACAUCUAGCUUUCAGUAGGACGUUUCGUGGUUUGAUUUUUCCUCUUACUCUUGUAAAAGAACAAAAUGUAGAGGAUGAGCAAGAUAAACGCUCUUGACUUCUUAGAUCACUCAUUCUCUGAUAGAGGUAGGUUUUACUAUUAUACGUGUCUCAUUUGUAUCUUAGAGUUUGUCAGCAAAUAUAUGAGUUUUGUUUGUCAAGCCAUCCACAAAUAUGACACAUUUUCUAGUAGAGGUAGGCUUGGUGGGUUACAUUCGCUUUAUGCCUUUGAGCAUUCGUAAGCCAAAGGAUGGAUUGAUCAGGCAUUUCAACUUGAAGGGACUUUUGACAGCUAAGAGUGCUUUUUAUGUUGCUUUGAGUUGAAUAUAAGUGAAGAAAGUUGGGGUUUCACCAUAAAAUCAAUUGGCAAUAUGGGGAGUAAUCUAACUACUUAUAAGCAAAUGCAAGGUCCCUCAUCUCAUAAAUGUGGGAUUCAUUCUCAACACACCCCCUUAUGUGUGGUGGAUUUUCAAGUCUAACAUGCAGUGUUGUGUCUCUUGGAUUGAAGAAGCACAACUAAGGGAUAUGUCCCUUGAUUAAUUAAUCAGAAGGUUAUGCCUUUUUGAUAAAAGGCACAUGUAUGAAAAGACGUCAAACUUGCAUCCAUUCAGUGGAAAUGAAAGAAUGUUGGAAAGAUCUAUUUGAUCUUCACACACUUUCAGUUGAAGGAUGUGACUUUUCUAUACACACUUUGAAAUAAGUUCAACAGAUACAAUAUAAUCUAUAUAGCCCACGUUGAAAGAAGCAAUGACUUUGGAGAGAUGCUGCUUUUUGGAAAGAAGCUGUAGAUGAUGAGAUGAACUCAUUGUUAUCAAACCAAACAUGGACUUUGGUUGACUUACCAUAUGGAUCUAUACCAAUUGGUUGUAAGUGGGUGUUUAGAAAGAAAUAUAAUACUGAUGGUUCUCUGCAAACCUUCAAAGCCAAAUUGGUACCCAAAGGUUUUAAAUAGAAAAAGGAAGUUGACUACUUUGACACCUAUGCACCAGUUGCAAGAAUCACCUCCAUUAGAGUGUUGUUUGCUUUGGCAUCCGUAUAUAAAUGUACAUCAAAUGGACAUGAAAACAGCCUUUUUAAAUGGAGAUUUGAAUGAAGAGGUAUGUAUGGAGCAUCCGGAAGGAUUUGUUCUUCUUGGUAAUGAAAAUAAGGUUUGUAAAUUAGUGAAAUCACUAUAUGGUCUAAAACAAGCGCUAAAACAAUGGCAUGAAAAAUUUAACUUCGUCAUGUUGUCAAAUGGUUUUAGACACAACAAUGCCAAUAAAUGUAUGUAUUCUAAAUUCAUUGAUGAAUACGAUGUUGUCAUAUGCUUAUAUGUAGAUGAUUUACUAAUAUUUGGGACCAACAUGAAAGCUAUAUCCGAAACUAAGAAGUAUCUAAAUUCAAAUUUCAAAAUGAAAGAUUUAAAUGAAGUGGAUAUCUUAGGGAUCAAAGUAAAGAGACAUGAUAGGGGUUUUGCAUUGUGCCAGUCACACUAUAUUGAAAAAAUAUUGCAGAAGCAUAAUCAUUUGCAAAUAAAAAAAGCACCAACCCCUUAUGACUCUAAGAUCAACAUGCUAGUAAAUUCUGGCAAAUCAGUUGCACAACUUGAGUAUGCUAGUGCAAUUGGGGGAUUGAUGUAUGCUUCAUAUAGCAUAAGGCCAGAUAUAGCAUUUGUUGUUUGUAAACUUUCAAGAUACACUAGCAACCCUAGCACUUUAUGUUGGAAAGAAAUUUGUAGAGUUUUUUGUUAUCUUAAAAAGACUACUAAUUUGGGUCUAUUUUAUUCAAGAUUCCAGCAGUACUAGAAGGGUACUCAAAUGCUAGUUGGAUUUCUAGCGCAAGCAAUAAUAAAUCUACAACAUGAUGGAUAUUCACUAUUGGGGGAGAUGUUGUUUCUUGGGUGUCAAAGAAACAAAUUGUUAUAUCACACUCCACUAUGGAAUUUGAGUUUAUAGCAUUAGCAGCCGCAUGCAAAGAAGUAGAAUGGUUGAGAGAUUUAUUGUUUGACAUAGAGUUGUGGCCACAACCAAUGCCAUCUAUUUCUUUGUAUUGUGAUAGUGAAGUUACAUUGUCUAGAGCUUACAGCAAAGUAUAUAAUGGCAAAUCUAGACAUUUAAGCUUUAGUUAUGAAUUUGUCAAACGGUUAAUAACAUAAGAAGUUGUUUACAUAACUUAUGUAAGGUCAAAUAAAAAUUUGGCAGAUCCUUUUACUAAGGGCCUCUUGAGAGAUAUGGUACAAAGUACAUCUAUUGGAAUGGGGUUGAAACCCUUUACUAUAAAUCACCAAUAAUGGUAACCCAACCUUGCCUAGAAUGUCACUAGACCAAAGUUCAAUGGGUAAUAACAAGUUAUUGAUAAGUGGUUUGAAUAAGCACUGAAUAAUUUAUAUAGCCUAUUCCAGAAUGUCAGUGCAUAUUGCUAUGAUAGAGAGGAUGAAAUUUAAAUUCUUAAUGAGGCAUAAUAAUAUAAGAUGUUCAAAUAGCAAGAACAUAUACAAGUAACCUCACCUAUAUAAACAUAAAGAGUGGUGCCGCUUCUACCAAGAGUUUUUCUUGGUUCUCUUGUAAAUGUUUAUGAAACCAGGAUAUAGCACAUGGCCAUAAUAGUGCUAACCAUAUACAAAGUUUUCUCCAAGGAAGCAAUAAUAUGAUCAUGUGUGUAAUAUUUUCCUGUUUUGACUGAUAUAUACAUAGUUUAAGGUAUGGAAAGGCCACUAUUGUAUUUGUAAGAACCUUGAGAUACUUACACUAAUUGAAGGUUAAAAUCAAAAGAUACCUUUUGUAUGCAUGAACAUAUGUGUAUGAUUAAAGUUAAUGACAGAAAGAUUGAUUCAUUAUAAUAUUUCUAGUUUUAUAUAUUUUGAGAUAGAGGAGAAUUGUUAGAUGUUUCAAAGUCAUUUUUUCUGUCAAAUUCUCAACCUUAUCCUACCAAUGAAGAAAGUUGAGAUUCCACCAUAUAUAAAACUAAUUGACGAUAUGGGGAGUAACCCAACUACUUAUAAGCACAUGCAAGGUCCCUCCUCUCAUCAAUGUGGAAUUCAUUCUCAACAAUGAGGGGCUCAUGAUGUAGCUUCUUCUUCUAUCAAUCCAAACCCUUUUGGAGUUCUGUGCAGAAAGCUAUCUAUGGGCAGCAAGCGCUCCCCAUAAAGUGAAGAUGUGCGCACGGAAUCUAUCGAGAUAUCAUCCUACUAGGGAGAAUUUGGUGAAAAGACAUGUUGGGACGGAUCGCUCGUGUACUCUGUGCUUUUCAAGGAGAAACAACGCUUCACCUUGUGAGGGAUUGUCCCUCUGCUAUUUGUGGAUGGCUUUCGACACCACUGAGGUACCCUGACAGAGGAGUGCAAUUGAACUCAAUGGAAGAACGGGCACUUCACUUGGCCUUGAAGCUAAGUCGGGCACAAUUUUGACCUAUCGGGUGGUUUGGUGGGCAGUUUGGGUCUCCAAGAAUGACGUCCUAUGGAAAGCUAAGAUGGUGCGAUCGGAUAUCUCUAUCCUCGAGCAGUUAGCUGGUGGCAGGACUACAUGAAGUUUUCCUUCCACAGGGAAUUUGCUAGUGUAGGAGGCUUGGAGAUCUGGAAGUGGGAACACCCCAUGCAGGCCAUCUAAAAAUUAAUGUUGACGGGGCCGUUGCCUAAAAAAAAAAAAGGCCUAAUAUACAUGAUUUUGGCACAUAAUUUUUUUAAUAUGGUCUAUCAUGAGUACCCAAAACCAAUAACCUUAUAACUACGUAAACAACACAACAAAUAUUGAACACACUUUCUCUCAGAAAAGAGAAGGAAGCACCCAGAAAGAAAAAGAGGGAUGGAAAGAAUGCAUAGUGUAAAAUAAGAUCUCAGUGAGAGAUAGGUUAAUGAACGCUGCAGAUGCUCAAUUUUCUCUUUCGCUUCUCGGACUUUGGAGGAUGGAGAGCCAACUUAAUAGCUGCGUCAAAAACAGCCUUCACAUUCUGCACAAUUUUAACAAUAAUUUUUCAACUCAUCAGCACAAGCCACAAGACCUAGUGAAAAAUUAAUAGGGUCGAUUUCAACAUGGUACCAUAAGUUUUGCACCAAAGAGCACCGUUUAUACACACGGUUUCAUUUUGGACACUUCAGUUACCCUUACUCAGCGAAAUUUCAACAAUAUGUCCAAAUUAUAACCAUGAGUACAGACAUGAAAUUUCUGGGUAAUUAAUACAUACUGAAAUUAACCUAAUGUGAUUGCAAAUUCCACCAAAUAUUCACAUAUUUUAACAUGAAAAAAAAAAACACAUUCUAGGUUCCUGGAGAAGUUCCUCAAGAAGACCAUAUAUUGAAUUGAACAUAAAAGAACCCCAUUUUUCUUUUCAUGUUUAUCUUUUGUGAAUUUCAUGAGCGCACAUAUAUAUAUACCUACAUGCUGUUUCUUUGAGCUGCACUCAAUAUAUGCCACAGCACCUAUUCGCUUCUUCAAAUCUUCACCCUACAAUAUUUUUAAAAAUGCAGAAGAAUAAUUAAAUUAUAAUAAAAUAAAAUAAAAAAGUUCCCCAGAAUUGAAUUUUCUAUCAUAUUAAAAUAAUUCAGCUAUACCAAUGUCACAAAGCAGCAGUAAUAAGGACCGAAGUAGCAGAAGUGGAAAUCUACCUGUUGUGUAGAGAUGGUACUUGCCCCGGGAUAAUCCAUUAGGAAUUGUCUGUCUUCUCUCAGAUCUGCCAUAGCAAAGAAACCAUAAGUUGUAGAAAAACAGCAGAGACAAAACACAGAAAAAUUAAAAGAAAAUGAGCCAUUGCGUUCUAAUUUGAAUCGUCAGGGCUCUUCAACAAAUAAACCUCUCAAAACUUUAUUUCAUAGCAAAAACUACUUAACACACUGUUUCGAGAAAAAUACUCAUGAACUCAGAUGCACUCAACAUUUUUAGUUGAUAGCUUUAUUUUUCCUAUAGUAUUAUUGUUGAAGUAUUUUUUACUAAUAUUAACAAUUGUUAGGGGCCUCCUCCCUCUUAGUGUAGAUUAUAUCAUUUGUUCAAAAAACAAAAAAAACAAUUGUUAGGGGCCUAUACUAAUUAAGUGUAAUAUUUAAUGUAUCUUCUCCAAUCCCUUGGUCUAUUAUGCUUCAUGACUAAAGUAAUCUUUAAGGAAAAAUAUUAGAUUGAAGUUUAAAGACAGUUGCUUUUUUUUUUGUUACUUAUAAUUUUUAGCUUUCCUAACCAAACAUUCUCCAUUAUUUAGAGCAUAGAGAAAUUUAUAAAUGGAAAAGAAACAUAACUAAAUCACUCAAAUUUGCAGAGGUAGCAAUUGCUAGUGGAAAGAACGGUUACCUAGUUUUGUCCCCACAAGAAUGAUAGGCACUGAUGAGGCAUAAUGUCUUAGCUCAGGGAUCCACUUCUCCAACAUAACAAGAGGAGAAAAGAAAAAGGAAAAGGAGAGACAGAAAACACUGAAUCUGAUUGGUAUAUACAUUUGGUACAUGCAAUUAGAAAAAGUGAAUCUUAAGAAGAAUUUAAUAGCUAACGUAGAGAAAAAAGAAACUCACUUUCUUUGAUAUGUUCUCAUAGCUAGGCCUACUUAUGAGAGAAAAGGCAAGAAGGAACACAUCAGCUCCUCUGUAACUAAGAGGCCUCAAUCUGUUGUAAUCUUCUUGACCUGCAAAUUAAUUCACACAGAAAGAAGUUCAUGUUGGAGUUUUUUUAGUAGAACACACUGCUCACAGUUAAAACUCUCUCACAUUUUAUAACAUCUAGUCCCUCUUAAAAGUGAUUGGAAAGAUGGACUGUAGAGAACAAACAUUGAGUUGAACCUUGAGUUUGGGCUUUGGGGUGUGAUAAUUAUAUAUAUUUAAAAUAUAUUUGAUUGACAAGCUCAAGACACGUUCAGUAGCCAAGGGUUACUGCCACAAGUUCAUGACACGUUUAGUAGUCAAGGGUUACUGCCAAAAGGAAGGGUUGGAUAUUUCGACACGUUACUCCAGUUUCUUGCUAAUGUUUAUUAUGACGUUAAUAGCAAUUGUAGUUGUGUACAAUUUUGUUAUACACCGAAUGGAUGUAAAAACAACAUUUUUGAAUGGAGAAAUAGAUGAAAAAAUAUACAUUGAGCAACCUAAAGGUUUGUGCUUAACAAACAAGAAAGCAAGUGUGCAAAUUAGUUAAGUCAUUAUAUCGACUUAAACAAGCACCAAAGCAAUGGCAUGAGAAGUUUGAUCAUACUUUGUUGACCCAUGGGUUUAAAAUUAACGAAUCCAAUAAAUGUGUUUACAUUAAGAGUAAUGGUAACUCUUGCAUUAUUGUGUGCUUGUAUGUGGAUGAUAUGCUCAUAAUGGGAACUAAUAAAGAUGUCUUAAAUAAAACAAAGAAAAUGUUGAAUACAAGUUUUGACCUGAAAGACUUAGGUCAAGCCAAUAUCAUUAUAGGAAUUCAAAUUAAGAGAAAUAGUGAAAGUUAUGUCCUUACCUAGUCUCAUUAUGAAUAAAAAAUAGUAAGGAGGUUAGGUCAAUUUGACUGCAUACCUGCUGCGACUCCCUUUGAUGAUGGAUUCAAGUUAGAGAAAAAUAAUGGCAAUGCCAUAUCUCAACUUGAAUAUUUCCAAGUAAUUGGAAGUGUUGUAAAUAUUACGUGGAUGGUCCACAUGAAUAGUUUGUUACUAUUUAUGCACAGUAUUUUCACUAUUCAUUUGUGGAAAAUUUGUAAAGUGAAUAGUGCUUUCUUUUGUUUAUAUAAAGAAAGAAGAGGGGAUGAAUGAAGAGAGGUUCACGGGAGAGAAAGGAAGGAAAAGAAGAGAGAAGAGAGAGAGAGGAAAGAAGAGGAAGAGAGGAAGAAGAGAAAAUGAGGGGGAGAUUAAAGAGAGUUAUCUUUGUACUCCUAUUAUUUUAGAUUAUAAUGAAAGCACCACUGCUGCCCGAGGACGUACUCCAGUCACACUGACUGUAGAGGAACCUCGUAAAUUUUGUGUCUUGUUUCAUUUAUUCCGCUGCACCCACCGUCGAUUUUACAACACGUUAUCAGCACGAGAAGCUCUUAUGUCAGUGGAAAGCACAACGCCACAAAUCAUGUUCACCUCCUUCAACUGGAAUCUCACAGAUAAGAAACAAUUUUCAUUUCAUCUUCAAAUCUCAGUACAAUUGAUUUUCUUGAAGCAACUAUAUAUAUUGUUGUAUGACUGUAUAUCAUCCUUUGCAGAAGCAAAAGAGUACAUACUCAAAAUUCGUAAAGAAUUUGACAGCAAUGUAAACAGCCUCUGAACUCCAACUUGCGGACCUCGGAUUAAAAUACUUUCUUCUUGAAAGUUGUUCGUCCACUCAAUAUCUACAACAUAUCAAAAUUUCAGAAAACUUUAACGGUGCGAUCGUUGCAGAUGUCUGAAAUACUAAACCAGUUUCCAAUUUCCGCAGAAAACUGGACAGCCACCUUAUGAGUACCAUAACUCUAUUUCUGUAGCUCAAAUCGAAAUUGUUUCUUCACGAAAGUUGUUUGGUAUCCUCUUAUCCAUAUCAUACUAAAAUUUGAACUAAAUCUAACGGUUUGAUCUUCUCAUAAGUUGCAGACACUUUUGACUCCAAAACUUAUGGGAACCGUUUCGACUUUUUCGAAACUCACCGGAGGAGGAACACCAAUUGGAACUUAUUGUUACUUUUACUUCCUGAGUAACUAAAAGGACUUGUUGUUGUGAAAUGAAAACAUUAAUAAAAUAAGGACAAUUUGGAUGGGUGCCCCGACAGAAGUGAAGGGAAGAAAUAAUAAAAAAUAAUAAUAAAGUUGAUAGUGGGAAGUUGAUGAGAACAUCACCAUUAUGAAAAGAAAUAAUAAAAUUAUAUAUUUAUUUAUGUGCAUGGUGUUGGUUUAAAGCCCAUGUCACAAGUUCUAUUUAUUUAAAGCAAUUUAUUUAUAGUGGGUAGAAUUAUUACCCUUUGCUUUAAAGCUUUGAUAUUUAUGUGAAUGGUGCUGAAUCAAAGCCCUUGUCACAAGCUUUAUUUACUUUAAAGCAAUUUAUUUACCAUGGACGGUUUUACCGCCUAUUGCUUUAAGUUUUGAUGGUGCUGAAUUAAAGCCCUUGUCACAAGCUUUAUUUACUUAAAUGCAAUUUUUAUUCAUUAUGGCUGGAAUUACCGUCUAUUGCUUUAAUUUAUUUAUUGUACUUAUCUUUUGUUACAAUGAGUAUAACAAGGACCUAGAGUUCCUUGAUUAGAUCAGAACCUGCAGUUUCUUGAUCCUCAUCAUAUAAAAUGAUAGGACCCGAAGUUCCAUCAUACAAAAAGAUCAGGCAUGAAGUCCUUUGAUCCUGAAGAUCAGGACAUGAAAUUCCUUGAUGAGUACCGUAAGUUUAAAGUGCCGCAGUGCCUCAACUUAACCAUAAUAAAGGACAUAAGAGUCUCGGUUAACAGACUAUUAAACAAGGACCAGAAGUUCCUUAUGUCCAUACUUAAAAUGGUUUAGCAGAAACAUUUAUUAAGUGGGUGAAAUUGAUUACCAACGCUCUGCUCAAGAAAACAAAAUUGCCAAUUUUCUACAUGGGAACAUGUAAACUUUACAUAAUGCAUUAUUAAUUCGGUUGAGACAUAUUAUCAACCAUCAAUACUUCUCAGUACAACUCGUGUUUGGGAACUAGCCAAACAUUAUACAUUUACGAGUUUUUGGUUGUGUUAUCUAUGUGCAUGUAAGACUGCCACAACGUACUGAAAUGAGGCAUCAUCGUAGAUUAGGCAUUGAUGUUGAACAUCAUCUAUCAUUCAAUAUUUGGAACCCUUGACUGGGGAUAUGUCUACCGCAUGAUUUGCGGACUAUGAUUUUGAUAAGACAGUUUUCCUGCCAUUAGGGGGAGAAAAUAACAUCGUUCCAGAAGAACGAUGAGAAAAUAUCAUUCCAGAAGAAUGAUGAGAAAAGACCGUUCCAGAAGAACGAAGAGAAUUUGUCUUAUUUUGAUUCACGAAACAAACAAUGAGAAAAUGAAAUUGAAAUAAUUGAAUGAUGCAACGAAAGUGAUGAAAUCACAUAUACUUACUGCAAAUGUGCCUACAAGAAUUGAUGUCCCUGUUGGACAAAAUAAUGAGACAGUAAAUGAUUUAUCUAUUGCACGCCUGAAGCGUGGCAGAUUUUUAGACUCAAAAGGUUCAGUUAUUCGAAAGAAGAAUAAUAUGACACUACUGAACUAUUGCAUUCCCGAAGCAUAACUGUUGCAUACCAGAAGCAUGACAGUCGCCGCAUGAAUACACGUCCCAGAUAGGACAAUCCACAGACAUGGGAAUGUUGAUGUCUCAUACAUGAAGCAUAAUAGACAUAUAGGUUCCAAUGACUCAACUCCCGGAAGUGGAGAUUAAAAUCCAAGCUCUAUAACGCUCAAGAGGAGGUUAUGAUCCACAUUCUCUCAAUUAUGACUAUCCUGGAAGAGAUAGCGUCAUGCCCUUGAAGAGGCAAUGGAUAUCCAAAGAAAUGAAAAGUUUUUAUGCAUGCGCGUGCACAUGAGAGUAUGGGAUCACGGAUUGAUGAUAACCAAUGGUAAUUUUGGUUUUUACAAGUAGCUACUAAAUUCAUCAAUAAGCUGUGUUAAUAUUAAGUCACGUUCUUUUGUUCGUCGACAAAAGAAAAAUUAUUGGCCAAAAAUGGAGAAAGGCAAUUCCAUUACAAAUUUUGUAAGAACGUGGGCAAAUGAACCUAUAUAUAUUUGAAUACAAUACAAAUAGCCAAAUGAUGUUAAACCAAGGAGGUUAUAUAUGGGCAUUUGUAAUAUAGUGUAAUACACUUACAUGAUAUGACACAAGGUUGUAAACGAGUUCAUAUGAAUGGAGAAUUAUAUACGAAGGGUUGUGAGUCGCCCACAUUAUAUCUCCAUAAGUAAAUCCCUCAAGUAUACAUGGGAGCAAAUUGCUCUGUAUAAAUUCCAAAGGAAAAUGUGUCAUGAAGUGUAGAAAACCCUUGAAGGAUUCAAAUUGCUUGAAGUAAGCCUCUGAAGGGUAAAACAUAAAAUAUGUACUCAAUACCAAUGGAUGAUAUAAAUUGCCUUAGUGAGUACUAUCAUUAUGAUAUUGUUGCAACAUACUAAAAUCUCUUGCAAGAGUCAAUGACAUUAAAUUAUAACUCUUGAAGAGUUGAUGAUAUUAAAUUGGGACUCCUGAAGAGUCUAGAAAAAUUAUAAAGUGUUGAAGGAAUUAUUGUCUCGAGCUGCAGAUCGAACAAUCUACCAACACGAAUCUUAUCCAUGAUAUUUAUGAUAUUAAAAGAAUCAUAUGGAUUGAAGAUUAUGAGUUGAAUACUCAUAUGAUGAAGACACUAAGAAUAAUCAUUUAUCUUCGUGAGGGUAAAGAUAAAUUAAUAUUUGGUCCAGAAGUACCACAUCUUAGUGAAGUAUAUGCUUUAUUGUAUUUGGCACAUACAUUGAAUGAAAUAAAGCUUAUUUAUUAAUAUCUCCAAGAAAUUACAGAUAUAUACAUACACAUGAGUUAAAACAAACAAACAGGAUGGAGCCUUCACAAAGGUUGCUCAUGUGAAGCCUCAGUACUCGGAAGUACCCCAGAAGGGGGAGGCACUGGAGAUUGCUCAUGUGGCACCCCAGUACUUAGCAAAACACCAGAAGGGGAAGGCAUCAGUUGCUUUCGGAAUCUAGCAACGAACCUCUGGUGAUCACUUUGAAUCCGACUUUCGGAUUCCUGCAGUUGGACGAGCUUUCUUUUCAUGCUCGUAGAGUAACUAUUUGCAAGCACGUGUAACACCCUAUUCUCGUGCUUAAGCCCUCUGAUCUCUUGUUUAAGACUUGCCACUUCCGCCAUCAAUGAUUCAACUUGGCGAGUUUGAGCAAGUAGGCGUUGGCCCAUAUUGGACACAGAGCCAGCACACUGAACAUUGAGAGCCAAGGAAUCUUGAAUGGCCGACUCUUCAGACCGUUCUGAAAGGAUCUUGUUAUCCCUUGGAGUGAGAAGAUUCCUAGCUACCACAGUAGCGGUUAUGUUAUUCUUCAUCACAGAGUCCCCAACCGUAAGAGGACCAUUAGAAGAUAAGAAGGACGGGCGCCAUAUAUUAUCCUGACGCUGCUCGUCUGUAUCACUCAUAAGACUCAAAUCUAAGCAAAUGUUAGAUGGGCAAGUCAUUUUCAGAAAUGAUGAAGGAAAAACAGAGGUCAAAUAAAAUUUCAGAAAUGCAAGAAGGGGAAAUUUCUACAGGCAGCAACUUUCUGAGCAUACCCUUGAACACAAUUGAUGUCUCUAUAAAAGAAGAGGCAGCAGAGCCACUUGUUCAAAGAUCGAUGAGGCACCGCUCUCCGAAUUUCAAAAGCCAGAUUUUCCUGAAUAAAAUUCGUUGGCAUUUUUCAGACGUAAUCUCAGCUUUUCAGAUAUCGCGUGCAACUUUGUCAAAGAUCUCUGACAAAGUUGAAAACGCGUAAAUCUUACUGUUCUAUUUACACCACAGUUGCUGACAAGAGUAAAAGCACAGCACCACCACUUGCUAUUGAGAAAUCUCUAUAUAUGUCGACAUCUGUUCUCCAUAACAAGGCAGACCUGCAACACUGCAAGAAUACCUAACUCUUCCUCAUCUCCGAGAAUGCAUCUUCAACAUAGCAUCUCGAAAUACUUAGUUUUCUUCCUCUCCGAGAAUACCUCUUCAAACAUGUCACACCAGAGCAAGAUUAUCACAUAUCUUCAGGGACCAGAGCAAGAUUAUCUCAUAUCAUGCAAUCUCCCUGUCCUUUCCUUUGUCCAUGUUCUUGCCUGCAAAGACAAGGAUAAGGAAAGCAAUAUGUCGGAACCUCCACUCAAACUCCCGGUAAGGAACCGAUUGCCUGGAACCUUUCCUGAUUGCUUACCUAGUAUUGCUCUCGAGUAGUCAUCUUCAACGGUUGGAGUUGGGUCUCCAGUCACCAAGAAGUGAUGAACCAUCCAAAUGCAAGGGUUUGCAUUCCACUUCUGCACCAGGGGACAAAUCCUACAAGAGAAGAUGCCACAUAUGCAUGGGGGAAAAACCAGGGAAAAUACUACUGAAGCCAGGGGAGCAAGUAAGGAAAGUGAAAAUGAUACAUUGAAGCAUGUGGAGACAAGUGCAAUGAACACGUGUUGAUUCAUCCACAACUAAACCGAAGAACCCUUGUCACGUGAAGCUCCUUAUGGUCCAAUUUCAUUCAAGAUCAAGCUUCGAAGGUCCUUAAAGAAAUUACAAGUCCGAUUCAAGAUUAAGUGUCCACCACACUUGAAUCAAAUCUGCUCCAGAUCAAAGGAGUAAAUUCAGACCUUUGGAUGCAAGUCUAGCAGAAAGUCCUACAACCCAGUUCAAGAAAAAGGCUGUGGAAAGUUAACAAUAAGUAAAGCAACUCUUUUAGCAACUCUUCUUACUAAGAGACUAAAGCAGAACAAUCAACGAUCAACCUAAAUGAUUUGAAAUCAGGGGGAGAUACUCAUCAAGGGGAGCAUCCAAGACAGAUCAAGAUUUUAACGAGUCAAUCGAAGACUUGUGGCCAUCCAAGGGGGAGUGUUGUAAAUAUUACGUGGAUGGUCCACAUGAAUAGUUUGUUACUAUUUAUGCACAUUAUUUUCACUAUUCAUUUGUGGAAAAUUUGUAAAGUGAAUAGUGCUUUCUUUUGUUUAUAUAAAGAAAGAAGAGGGGAUGAAUGAAGAGAGGUUCACGGGAGAGAAAGGAAGGAAAAGAAGAGAGAAGAGAGAGAGAGAGGAAAGAAGAGGAAGAGAGGAAGAAGAGAAAAUGAGGGGGAGAUUAAAGAGAGUUAUCUUUGUACUCCUAUUAUUUUAGAUUAUAAUGAAAGCACCACUGCUGCCCCGAGGACGUACUCCAGUCACACUGACUGUAGAGGAACCUCGUAAAUUUUGUGUCUUGUUUCAUUUAUUCCGCUGCACCCACCGUCGAUUUUACAACAGGAAGUACUUUAAUUUACUUUUUAAAGUCACUAAGCAUGACCUAGCUUAUUCAGUAAGUAGGCUUAGUAGAUAUACUAGUAAUUAGCACAAGAGCAUUGGGAUACUUUAGUAAGAGUGUUAAG
rnacentral:lncRNA from 1 species